GAUAGAGGCGCGGUCUUUAUGAGUAGACCUGCAGGAACCGGCAUGCGCAAUGCUGAGUGCAGGAAAGAAAGGAAAGAUCGCCGAAGACAGAGCGCUGCGCACUCUGAUCUGGGCAUACAGAGAACAUCUGUAUGACUGUCGCGUAAGCGGAGAACUAUCGGA
rnacentral:ncRNA from 1 species